GCCUAACACAUGCAAGUCGAGCGGUAGCACAGAGAGCUUGCUCUCGGGUGACGAGCGGCGGACGGGUGAGUAAUGUCUGGGAAACUGCCUGAUGGAGGGGGAUAACUACUGGAAACGGUAGCUAAUACCGCAUAAUGUCGCAAGACCAAAGUGGGGGACCUUCGGGCCUCAUGCCAUCAGAUGUGCCCAGAUGGGAUUAGCUAGUAGGUGGGGUAAUGGCUCACCUAGGCGACGAUCCCUAGCUGGUCUGAGAGGAUGACCAGCCACACUGGAACUGAGACACGGUCCAGACUCCUACGGGAGGCAGCAGUGGGGAAUAUUGCACAAUGGGCGCAAGCCUGAUGCAGCCAUGCCGCGUGUGUGAAGAAGGCCUUCGGGUUGUAAAGCACUUUCAGCGGGGAGGAAGGCGGUGAGGUUAAUAACCUUGUCGAUUGACGUUACCCGCAGAAGAAGCACCGGCUAACUCCGUGCCAGCAGCCGCGGUAAUACGGAGGGUGCAAGCGUUAAUCGGAAUUACUGGGCGUAAAGCGCACGCAGGCGGUCUGUCAAGUCGGAUGUGAAAUCCCCGGGCUCAACCUGGGAACUGCAUUAGAAACUGGCAGGCUAGAGUCUUGUAGAGGGGGGUAGAAUUCCAGGUGUAGCGGUGAAAUGCGUAGAGAUCU
rnacentral:rRNA from 1 species